rnacentral:lncRNA from 1 species
UAAAUCAAACAGCAGUCUUUCCAAAGUGAAGCACAAAGUUUAAGAUGCUGUAAAUACAACAUUUUAAGACUAUAAAGACAUGUCUGUCCCCCUGCAGGCCUGAGGACAUGUUGUCCAGGAGUGUGGAGCAGCUCUACAGGGCGAUCCAGCAGACCAGAACCGGCCAGGAACACAUCUCCACACUGCAGGCCCGCGGGGGCGCUGCGGAGCUGCAGAGACUGAGAGUCAGAAACAGACACGCUCAACACAAACUGGAGGUGGAACUGGAGCAGAGCGGUGUGCAGCUGCAGGACGUCCAGCAGGAGAGAGACUCGCUGCUACACCAGGUUCUGAAGUUACUACCUUAUAUUCUGUAUGUUCUUUAAAAACAACACCAGUUAAAGGUUAAUCCUAAUAGAGUCAGUACUACAGUGUAAGAGGCCUUACAUUACUGACGGUGAAGGACUUUUAUUUUGAAAAACAGCUGUUGUUUUUGUGAAGCUAAGGAGAAAAAGCAAAACAAAGUGAUUUGUUUAAAAUCAUUAAACAUGUGAAGUGAAUGUGUUAUAAUAAAAUGAGGUAAAGAAUCCAGCCGCAGUGCAUGCUGGGAGUGACUGAGGUGUCAUGUGAUCCAGCUGCGUUCACAGAGCGACGGUCACCAGCGGAGCCUCGGCCGUCUGAACAGGAAACUACGGCAGCUCAGCAGGUCCAUGUGUGACUCUGAUCAGCUGACAGCAGAGCAGCUGAGAGCGCUGGCACACAGAGAGCAGGUACACACACUGAGUAGGUACACACACGGUGCAGGUACACACACGGAGUAGGUACACACACGGAGCAGGUACACACGGUGCAGGUACACACACGGAGCAGGUACACACACGGUGCAGGUACACACACGGAGUAGGUACACACACAGAGCAGGUACGCACACGGUGCAGGUACACACACAGAGCAGGUACGCACACGGAGUAGGUACACACACGGAGCAGGUACACACACGGAGUAGGUACACACACGGAGCAGGUACGCACACGGAGCAGGUACACACACGGAGCAGGUACACACACGGAGCAGGUACACACACGGUGCAGGUACACACACGGAGUAGGUACACACACAGAGCAGGUACGCACACGGUGCAGGUACACACACGGAGUAGGUACACACACAGAGCAGGUA